GAGAGAUUUGCUAGUGAAGGAGGUAGCUGACCUUUAAGAAUAUUGGCAGACAAAUCAAGAUGAGUGAGUUUGGAGAGGUUUCCUAGUGAAUGAGGUAGCUGACCUUCAAGAUUAUUGUAAGACAUGUUAAGAUGAGUGAGCUUGGAGAGAUUUCCUAGUGAAGAAGGUAUCUCACCUUUGAAUCUAUUGUUAAAUAGAUCUAAGAAAGUGAGAUUUUUUAGCAACCACAAUUCAGGAGGUAGCUGACCUUCAAGAAAAUUGGCAGACAAAUCAAGAUGAGUGAGUUUAGAGAGAUGACCAAUUUCUUUUGAGAUAGUCCCUUCUAGUGUAAUUUUUCUUAGAACAAGGCUUUCUAGAUUUUUGAAACAAGCCAAGUUGAGAGUAGACAAGUUGCGUGUUUUAAAAUCAUACUCCCAGGCAGCGUAUGUAGAAUCAUCAGAGUCUAUCUUAAUUGCUAUUAUGCUUCCAGCAUCGUUGCAAAAUAUACCAUGCCCAUGACAACGAUCAGAGAUAUUGAAGUUUGCAUCAGAAGUGUUCCACCAUCCACUAUUUAAUAUAGCAUUUGCUUCCAUUUGAAGUUGAUGAGAUGUCAUUGUGGCAGAUUGAGUUCCCUCAACCAAACCACAAAUUAUAAGAAGAAAGACCAUCCACAUUUUUGGACCAAAGAAAUUUGAAACUAAAUAUUUUAUCAAGUUCAUAUUUUUUCUAUGAGAUGUGAUGAAUGACCAUCAAAAACCUUUAUGAUGUUGUGUUAACCCACUUAUUUCUUUUCUUUUUGAGCGCUGGACCUUUUAUUUCUAUUUUCUAAGGACCUUUUUUUUUAAAGUACCUUUAAAAAAGAUCCAUGUGUUUCUCACUUAUUUUACUUUUUUGUUAGAUUAUAAUCAUGGGAACUUUUGAUUUAUUGCUUCUUCCGGUAGGCCAAACAAAAGGUGGAUUCAAAUCGACUCUAUAACAUCAAUCUGUUAUCAUUAAAAAAAAAAUCAGUUUGAAUCCUGACCGGAGAAAUUAUUAAGAAGACUUGCUUGUUGGACCAGUUUAUGAUAAUAGAACAUUAUGACGUAAUUUGAUCCAAGUAGCCGACCCCACUUAGUGGGAUAAGACUUGGUUGUCGUUAUUGUUGUUAAAUCCUGGCUGGAACAAUCCUUGGCUAGACAUUACCUACCUUCUAGCUGAACUCCGGAUUAUCUAAGACCCUUUCUCCUAAGAACCGAAGGGUUAAGACCACAAAAACAUGCAAGCCAUAUCCCACUAAUUGGGGUCGACUACAUUGAUCAAAUUAAGCCUUAAUGUUCAAUCAUAAACCAUAUUUUAAUCCAACUCAUUAAUCUAAUGAUUUUUCUAAAUAGUUUCUCUUAUAGUUUUUUAGGUCUACCUCUGCCUCUAGCAAUCUGACUAUCUUCCAUCUUAUCUACUCUCCUUACUAUAGCAUCUACAAGUUUUCUCUCAACAAGUCCAAACAACCUAAUUCUAGUUUUCCUCUCCUUACUGUCAUCUAAAAGUCUUCUCUCUACACAAAAAACAUUUCUCUCUUAAAAAUUAAAAAUCAGACUUGAUAUCAAUUUGGUGAUAUUUUUGGCCUUCUGCCAUCGACAACACCGAUUUUAUUGAAAAAAAACGUUAUUUUUUGUGAUCCACAAUUGACAACAGUGGUCUAUAUUGCACACUUGUACUUGCUAGUUUAAAACAAUAGUAGUAUACUCAACUUUAAGCAUUCACUGCUCUUGAUGUUGUCUGUACUUGACUUCUCAAUAUGGUAUAUCGGUGUUGUCAAAUAGCAAUGUUCCGAAAUUUGAACAAAUUGCUAUUGUUUCGGGAUAUGCUAUUUAGUUCUAAGUGUGGCCAAAUGUCAACUAUAACGGCGACAUACCACUAUAGCGUUGUGGAAUUUAAAGGUUUAAAUAAAUUGGUAUUAUUCUGCAAUACACUUUUUGUACCAACUGUUGUCAAAUUGUGGCUAUAGCACUGUAGUGUAAUUUGGACUCGUUAGUUUCAUGCUCCUUUAUGCAGUAGCAAUUCACUCACCUUUGAACAUUUUAUGUGUUUAAUACCAAUCAUUCUAUGCCGAAUUUUUAAUGGAACGCUGGAGUUUGAAUACGAGUGAAAUUUUGGGAGUUUUGAGUCCCAUAGCUUUCUGGAGUGAAAUAUUCGAACAAUGGAUUGAAGCUAAUGAGGAAGCAAGAGAAAAAAUGUUUAGAGACAUAUUGGCUAAAAGAACAGCAGAAUAAGAAUGCCAUUCCUGAUAUCCUUAGCCACUUGCUCUCAUUGCACUCAAGCUAAUGAGGAAGCUAACUAGUAAGGCAAUGCAUCUGAUAAUAAUCACCAAGUACAUCAAGUAAUUUUUUUUGUUGAAUUUGUAAACCUUGAGAUAUUGAUUGAAUCAAUUGCAAUACCUUUAUCUUUUAAUUCAGUUAACAUAAUAAUUGAAACAGAAGUAAUUCAAUUUUAUACAAAAACAGAAAUGUGAAUACAUAUAUACUUAUGUUUGAUGUAUCACAACAACAAAGUUUUACAGCAUUUUUCAACAACUUUUGGGGAAAAAAAGGCAAUGUCUUUAUUAUUGAAUAAUAACACACUCAACUUAAUUCAUUCUGAAGUUCUCUUUCAAGGGUUCGCAAUAUAAAACAAUGCUUUGAGUUCUUCACUCAUUAGUUGCUGCACUGAAAUUUCACUGAAAGGAAUACUUAAUCGUGGAAGCUCGGUGACAAAACUUUGCGACACACAUUUCAUUGUUGGUCGAGAACGAGGAUUGACAUUUAAGCAUGCAAAGGCAACAACGGCAAAAUGAAUUAUGUUACGUAUAACCAUUUCAUUAUUUGGAAGUGGAAGACGCUGGUCUAAUACUUGACAUAGUUUGACACUUUGUGUCGAUGUUGAUUGAAGUGAUGACAAUAAAUCCCCAGGGUGCCUUCCAGCUAAAGUUUCAAGUGCCACUACACCAAAACUAUAUACAUCACACUUUUCAUUCACAGCCAUAGUAUAGGCAAGUUCUGCAUUGAUCAAAUUAUAUAAUGAGCAUUUAAAAGAAUCCAAAGAAAAUAAUUUAAAAUUACUACUUAGCAUGAAAAACUAAUGAACAUGUAUGUUAUUAAUGAGGAGUUAUGAAUAUGCACGAUGAGCAUAAUACAAAAAUGAAGAAAACAACCGAAUAUGAAAAGAAAAAAUAUCAAUGGUUAAUUUACCCGGAGCUAUAUAUCCAAUAGUUCCAGCAACUAUAGUUCGAUUGGAUGAAUCAUAUUGAAGGAGUCGAGCUGUGCCGAAGUCACAAACACUGGCCUGCCACUCAGAGUUUAGCAAGAUAUUGCUAGUAGAUACAUCUCGAUGCACUAUUGGAGCAGUGCAAUCAUGAUGAAGAUAUGAAAGAGCAAAUGCAACUCCUUUAAUAGUGUUAACUCUUUUUCUCCACUUGAAUUGCAGGGCUUCUACAUCAUCAUACAAGACAGAGAAUAAGCUUCCUCUAUCCAUGUAUUGAUAGAUCAAAAACAUGAUUCUUUUGUGCAAGCAGAAACCAUAAAGCUUCACGAUAUGUUUGUGCUUUAUUUCUGUUAAAAUUCUCACUUCAUUUCUGAAACUCUCAUCAAAAGAUGGAACCUCUGCUUCAUAGCCGUGAAGUUUCUUUAAGGCAACAACCUUGCCACUUGGUAAUUGUGCCUUGUAAACACUUCCAUAUGCUCCUGUUCCAAUACAAUAUCUCAUGUCAAAGUCUUCUGUCGCUUUGAUUAUGUCAUCAUAUGCUAUCAUUCCAUCAUAAUUCCAUAUACAAAACAUAUCUCCAUUCUUUGUUUUUGUUGAGUUUCCAUGCAACUUCUUAGAAGAAUUAUGAUGAAGAUUUAAACAUAUGAGAAGUAAGAAGACUAUGACUAGAAUAAUAAGUAUCGGAAUAACAAUGACAACAAUGUGCUUUAAUUUAUUAUUUUUCUUGUGUGGUGACCAAGGUUGGAACUGGUUAAAUGAACAUACAUCAGAAUUUUCGAUCUUCGUUGUAUGAAGACAAUUUGGAAUGGGACCCUUCAAACAAUUGUAUGAAAUGUCCACAUAAAUGACUUUACAGAGAGAUUGGGGAAUUGUUCCAGUGAGAUUAUUAUUUCUUAAAGUAAGUUGUUGAAAAUAUCCAAGCUCAGAAGGUAUUUCACCACUAAUGUGGUUGUGACUGAGGUCCAUGGAAGUUUCAUAAUCAAUAAAUGGAAACAAAUUGGAAGGAAGCGUACCGAUGAGUAAAUUGUGGGAAAUGUCAAGGGUUUUUAAUGAAAUUGGAAAGAUCCCACCAAUGGAAUUUCUACUUAACAACAAAACUUGCAAUUUGGUUAAUUGAUCAAAGUUAUAUGGAAGGAAACCAGUGAAAAAAUUAUAUGAGCAGUUAAGGUAUAUUAAUUGUGUGAGAUUUUUAAGAGAAAUAGGCAGGUUUCCAUUGAGUCUAUUGUGAGACAGAUCUAAUGUAGUGAGAUUUUUCAGUAACCCCAACUCAAAAGGAAGGAAACCUUGAAUGUUGUUGUUAGAAAUCUCUAGGGACUCUAAAGAUCUAAGAUUUCCUAUUGAAGGAGGUAUCUUACCUACAAGAGAAUUGCCAUAAAUAACAAGAUGAGUGAGUUUGGAGAGGUUUCCUAGUGAAGGAGGUAGCUGACCUUUAAGAAAAUUGACAGACAAAUUAAGAUGAGUGAGUUUGGAGAGGUUUCCUAGUGAAGGAGGUACCUGACCAUCAAGAAAAUUGACAGACAAAUCAAGAUGAGUGAGCUUGGAGAGAUUUCCUAGUGAAGGAGGUACCUGACCUGCAAGAAGAUUGUUAGACAAAUCAAGAUGAGUGAGUUUGGAGAGGUUUCCUAGUGAAUGAGGUACCUGACCUACAAGUUUAUUGUAAGAGAUGUCAAGAUGAGUGAGCUUGGAGAGAUUUCCUAGUGAAGGAGGUACCAGACCUAUAAGAAGAUUGUUAGACAAAUCAAGAUGAGUGAGCUUGGAGAGAUGACCAAUUUCUUUUGGGAUAGUC
rnacentral:lncRNA from 1 species